rnacentral:lncRNA from 1 species
GAAGGCCCGCGGCUGCCGCCGCCCUCCUCGUUCUCUUUGCCGUCGCAUUGAUUGCGCCGGCGUCGGCGAGCACGCUCACGGUGUUCUCCGGCCCAGGAUGCAGCGGACGGAGCAAGGACAUCAACGGCUGCGGCUGUUUCGACCUCACCGGCUACCAGGGAGGCUUCCACUUCGUGUUCACGGAGGAGCAGGAGGCCGUCCUGUACAGGGACCGCCACUGCAACAACAGCUAUCGGUCUGAACUGCUGGACGAGGAGACCCGCCACUGCCGCAGGUUCCCCUUCAGGAGUGUGGAGAUGGUGUGCUAAGGGGACGACGACGUGCUUUCCUCCGCUGCCUUCGGAAGUGUUUGAAAUAUAAUGGGUGAAUAAACGGUCGGUUACUUCGUCGUAAACUGGCUGCACGAUGUGUACGAUGAAUGCUUAAUCAUGCCAAGGAGCAUAAUAUGCGUUCAAAUUUUAUUUAAUGGUAAUACGUCCGAAAUACUGUAGGAAAUGUGCAUCCCUCGGAAUGUUUAGAUACUGUUUCGUGUGAUCGUUAUAAAGGUUUAAAUAAGUUAAAAGUCCAAAUGCCGAGCUGCGGUUAGGUUCAAGUUCUAAUAGAUUACGUCUAAUCCUUGAUAUGGAUAAAACAGAUGUAAUCGAUUAUGUGUCUUUCAGUCGGCAGAAAUUAUAGUAGGGACCAACGAAUUGGAUUAGGUAGGAUAAAAGGGACAAAAUGCAAAGAAGUUUUUAUUGCAUAAUUUCUAUGACCCGAAAUCUGAAGAACUCAAAAUUUUCUUUGCACUCAGGUAAAUGAUCACAUCAAUCUAUACGUAGAUAUUUUAUGCUGCCAUUCAAGUUGCGAUCGAUUUUCUGUCUGCUUCAUGAACAGAACAGCACUCUUCCAGUGUAAAAAAAGGGAAAUUACUCUGAGAAGUACGAGCUUGAGUUAUAACUGAGAUGCAUUGGGAGACCAUUGCCGGACAGACGCCAACAAGGCUUCUGCUGUUUUUCGUCGACGUUCAUACAAGGUCCCCAUCAAUAGAUUCGUUGAAGACAAAAGAGACAAAUUUACAAACCUACAUGACUUUCCCACUGGGAAAGCUAGCCGGUUAUGAGCAGCAUCUAUCCUCUUGUUCUCCACGUUAAUAUCAUACAGCGAGCUUCCGUAAGGGGCUGCGUACUUCCGCGUUUGGGAGAGGUAAGCCACGGAAAAGCUUCUAGAGGAGCCAUUGUAAGGGACGAGGCUCAGGACAACCUUUUCCCGUUUAAAACUCCACCCGUCAACGACCCUUCGAUUUUAUGAAGAUACGUAAGCAAAUUCCUUCAUAUCCGACCGCUACAUUCUUUCGUACAGUGUCCAAAUGAUUUUUAUAUUAAUAGAUAUUUUUCGUCUAAAGUAUCGUCCUUAUCUGGAUUCCACGCGGGGAAUUUGACAAAAUGACGUAAGUUCCGUGUUCCUAUCCAUAUUUUAUUGUUCUGACCGCACUCAAACGAUGGGUUCCCUUGACGAAAGGCGACCGCGUCAAAAUCAGCAUGUAUACAGCUGACUGCGUCCAUCCGAACAGAGUAAUCAUUCAACGGCACCGUCGUUAUGUGCCCAUAAGCGAAUGUCAACCAAAUAAAAUACAUUCUUACUGGCCAAAUAUGAAAAAAAUAAUACUUUUUAAUGCACGUCGAUUAAGAACCCGGUCUCGAGAACCCAUGGAUUUUCCAGGUGGCGUGAAUGAACCUACAGCGUUAUUUCGGCAAGACGUCUGCCCUUCCCACCCCUAUAAAUCAACCUCCGCGGAUGGACACGAGCUCUUCACUUCAACCCAGCACAACCCCAAGCCCUAAGCGAAUCAGCUUCCUAGGACCACGUCCGUUAGCAACCAAAAGUCAUGGCCAUCUCCAGCAAGCCCGUGGCGGCCGCCGCUCUCCUGGUCCUCCUUGCCGUCGCAUUGAUUGCGCCAGCUUCGGCGAGCACGCUCACGGCGUUUUCCGGGCCAGGAUGCAGCGGACGGAGCAAGGACAUCAACGGCUGCGGCUGUUUCGACCUCACCGGCUACCAAGGAGGCUUUCACUUUGUGUACACGGAGGAGCAGGAGGCCGUCCUGUACAGGGAUCGCCACUGCAACAACGGCUAUCGCUCUCAAUUGCUGGACGAGGAGACCCGCUACUGCCGCAGGUUCCCGUUCAGGAGCGUGGAGAUGGUAUGCUAAGGGGACGGCGACGUGCUUUCUUGGCUGUGGGUUUCAGUACUGUCUGAGUAGAUAUGAGUGAAUAAAUGGCCGUUUACUUCGAUGUGAACCGGCUUCGUGAUCCCCACAUCUAAUCGUAUACGGUGAUGUGCCUUCUUGUUCUUGGUUUUCGGACUUGUUUAAUCAGACAAGGGUAAACAACUGACCGGUUUCGUUAUGCACCGGGGACAUGAUGUUUAGUUCUUGUCAAAAAAUUAAGAUGAAAUUUACAAUCGGUUCCUGUUUAAAGGUGAUGAUCGUAAACUGUAAUGCACAUCUCGUUUUAUGUUUGUGGAUUCGCCUCGUCUGCUAAAUUGUCUUAUGGCCGUAAGCUACUGACCUCUUUUCGCCUUUGUUCAAAAUAUACUCUAUUCGACAGCCGCUAAGCGUUCUCACAAAUAGCUUGUUCCAUACCCAAACAAAGUCAAACCCUUGACAUUAGCUACGAAGAAAAAUAUUAGUUUCAAAAGGAUUUCAUCUCCAUGUUUUGGAGCAGAUAAUUUCAUUGAUUAACUAGUAUACCAUCUAACAUGCUGCAAUCCUCAAUCGUUUUUUCCAAACAUGGCAAAUUUAAUAGAGGUAAUAUUUAAUGCUUAAAGUUUUCAUGAUGCUUGGUAGUAGUCUAAAAUUAACCGGAAAGAAGGCCAAAUAUUUAUACUAAAUGACAAAUUUCAAAAAUAUAAAUAGUAAUAAUUUAAAUGUAAACAGAGCAUAACGUAUUAAUAAACAAUAUAAGUCGGAAAAAACUUUUAAAUAUACCAAAUAUAAUAAUGCUCAUACUGUAAAACUGCAGUGAAAAAUAUGUGAUAUAAUGCACAGCAUGACAUGAAAAUUGUUGAUUAGUCAUCAUCGCCACUAACUUGUCACUCAUUUCCUUUAAAUUUUUUUAAAUAAUAGAAUAUGUAGUCCAAUCAAAUUUUUGUUCAUAUGUAUAAAAAAAGACUAAAAAGUUAAAAAAAAUUAAUCUUCUAAAUUUUCCAUUAAAGUGACUUUCAUUUAUUAGUUUCUUCUGCUAAACUCCUUGGUAAUGAUCUCUAAAUAUUUAUUUGUUGAACCAAGUUGGAAAAUAAAGAUAAUAAAUCUAUGGCUAAAAUCAAUGAUUCAGGGCUAGGUAGAGAAAAACGUACCAAUAAAGUGAAUGAAAGACUAAACUUACAUCAUGAUAAUUGACACCAGAGUAAAUCAUUAAAAUAUAUUAAAUUUAAAUGUUUUAAACAUUCUCAACCAUUGAAUUAGGACCAUGUGGCCAUUUAGAGGGUUUUAUUCAUUUAUGAGGAUAAAAGAAGAGUGAUGGUUAGAAAAAUAAAGGAAAAAUCGUGAAUGAGAUCGUAAUUCUGCUAAAUAGAAAAUUUUAUUCAUUUAAACUAAAAGAAGAUCAAGAUUAAUUUCAGAUGUAAUUGUUAAUUUAAAAAAGACAGAAGGUUAGCAUAUACCUGAUUUGAGGGAGGUAGUAUCCCAGAUUUUGAAUAGUUGUAAUUGUAUGUGAACUAGCUGAUAUGCAGAGCUCAGCGCAUGGGUCAAUAAAUGGAUGGUUGUAACUGGUUGAAGUGGUAGGGCACAACAGACAUAGGUGCAAAGGCUGGUCAGCAGGAGUGUGGGAAGGGGUGAAUAUGACGCUUGCAAGACGAUUUGGUUGGGUGAUGACAUACAUUGAAAUUUUGACCUUUUAUAGUCAAACAUUGGUUUAUUUUUUGUUGUUUUAUUAAUCACUGGUGAACUAGUUAACAAACUUUAAUUCUGAGUCCUGUCAUUGGCCAAUCCAUUGUGCUCGUCAUUUCGAGAAGCUCACCUAAAAACUAUAGAAGCAAAAUGCUACCAAUGAUUUAGGGGAUACUCAAAUACUUAAGUUACUUCUUUUACACUAGAUAAUUCAUAAUUUACCUAUGGAAUGAAGUGAUACGAUACACAAUAGGCAAUUCCGAUCCAAAUGAUGCUUGUCAGGCAGAGAUAAAUAUAUGCAAGGAAAGUGUGUUUGAUAGUAAGUUAAGCGGGAAGUUUUCCCAGCAGACCACCAGAGUACACCAUCUUCUAACAAUGGGUGGAGUAACUUUUCAUGCUUAAAUACUAUGUUUGAUUAUAAAAUUUUGGCGUUAAGAGAAUCCGAUGGGGGUCAAAAGCAAAAAUUACGGCCACAACCCCAAAACAUAUGUCCUUCGGAACUGAAGUAAACUCAUUAAACAAAAUCCAAAAGGUACGAAAUUAGCUACCGAACCCUUCUGAAUCCCGUUAUGGCAGCGAACGACCAGUGCAAAAGACUGACAGAGCGAGAGGGAAAGAGAUUUCGAGCAGCUAUCUCUGAAAUGGGCAAAUAACGACCGAGGGGAACGUAGAUAUCUAUGCGCUAAAUUUUUCAUUGCCUGACACGAAUGGAACCAAAAAAUCCCCAGGUGCGACCGGUGUCGGUCAGAAAGUGACGGACGGAUUCGGAGGGCAUUACCACAAGUAACGAUGCCCCACCAAUAUACAUACUAUGUGCACAUUGAUAGACUAGAAAGAGCCAAAGACACAAUUCAGCUAGGCAACCAGCUGUUUCAGAAGGAAAAACUCAGUAAUGGUGGUAAAAUUCAUUGAUAGACAUUAUUUAUUCCCGCGUUCUACCUACCGUACUUGACGCACAAUAAUAAUGGAAUACAGGAGCUAACCUGAAUCCGCCAUGGACACGACUACGAGUUCUAACUCCGUCGAUCAACGACCCAUUGGCUUCGUCAAUAGGCGUAGGAAAGUUUGCCUAAUCCUCUGACCGCUUGGUAUUCAUUUUGGAUAGGAUGUAACUGGUUUCUCACUAUUUAUUCUAUCCUCAUCUAAUAUUCUGGCUUCACCUGUUUGAAAUGUGAGAAGCUGGAUGAAACUGCACGGACGUCCAUUUCACAUGAAUACUCGCUUUGACGACGGACCUGGGAAAGCGGGCUCCCUUCAUGUAGAUUGACCUGAUCAAACUCCGACAGCGUACGGUCAACUGAAUCCUUCAAAACACGCGUAGUUCUAUAGCUACACGGCAAAACAUAAAUUCAGCUACCGCGCAUGAAAUGGUUAUCAUAGUAAAUGGCCGCCGAUAAGGAAUCUAUUGUCUCGACGGCUCAUCGAUUUUCUAUUCGGCGUGAAUGGACUUCCGCAUUAUUUCAGCACGAUGGUCGCCUUUCCUAUCCUAUAAAUUAACCUCCGCGCACAGGCAAGAGUUCUUCACUACUCCAACCCAGCACAAUCCCAAGCCCUAAGCGAAUCAGCUCGCUAUAACCACCUCCGUCAACAACCGGAAGUCAUGGCCAUCACCGGAAGGCCCGCGGCUGCCGCCGCCCUCCUCGUUCUCUUUACCGUCGCAUUGAUUGCGCCGGCGUCAGCGAGCACGCUAACGGUGUUCUCCGGACCAGGAUGUAGCGGACGGAGCAAGGACAUCAACGGCUGCGGCUGUUUCGACCUCACCGGCUACCAGAGUGGCUUCCACUUCGUGUACACGGAGGAGCGGGAGGCUAUCCUGUACACGGACCGCCACUGCAAGAACAGCUAUCGCUCUAAAUUUCUGGACGAGGAGACCCGUUCCUGCCGCAGGUUCCCCUUCA